rnacentral:snoRNA from 1 species
UGGCUUUUAAAAUUACCUUUGGCUCAGUGUACAACAGCCUCCUUGGUAGUGUACACAGCCUGUGGUUUGUAUGGGCUGCCUUAAGGCACCUUGGAGAUGGCC